rfam:Carnobacterium maltaromaticum LMA28 complete genome
UGAAAAGCAUUGAUCAAGAGGAGUAGUUUUAGAUACUAAUUUUAAGAGAAAAGAACAAAUGCUGAGAGUUCUUUAUUAGUCUAAAAUGAAUGUAGCUUAGGAGCUGAUAGAGGGAAGUUAGAGUAACUCUAUCCGGAGGUAGCGAUCCGUUAACAGCGUUUAGAGUGGUGUGUUGUUUUCAACAUGCAAAAUAGGUGGUACCGCGAAUUCAAAGCAUUCGUCCUAAUU